GAUGAACGCUGGCGGCGUGCCUAAUACAUGCAAGUCGAGCGAACGGACGAGAAGCUUGCUUCUCUGAUGUUAGCGGCGGACGGGUGAGUAACACGUGGAUAACCUACCUAUAAGACUGGGAUAACUUCGGGAAACCGGUGCUAAUACCUGCUAAUAUUUUGAACCGCAUGGUUCAAAGGUGAAAUACGGUCUUGCUGUCACUUAUAGAUGGAUCCGCGCUGCAUUAGCUAGUUGGUAAGGUAACGGCUUACCAAGGCAACGAUGCAUAGCCGACCUGAGAGGGUGAUCGGCCACACUGGAACUGAGACACGGUCCAGACUCCUACGGGAGGCAGCAGUAGGGAAUCUUCCGCAAUGGGCGAAAGCCUGACGGAGCAACGCCGCGUGAGUGAUGAAGGUCUUCGGAUCGUAAAACUCUGUUAUUAGGGAAGAACAUCUGUGUAAGUAACUGUGCACAUCUUGACGGUACCUAAUCAGAAAGCCACGGCUAACUACGUG
rnacentral:rRNA from 1 species